AUGUGCGAGAUGUUAUUGUGGUUGAACUGUAUUUGGGGACGGUGUAGUAUAGGAGUGCGGGGAAAGAGUGCAAGGUAUGCGAGACGUGUGAGGAUGACGGGUAUACACGUUAAGCGUGCGGGUUGUUUUAUAAGGAGGAAGGUGGCGAAUACUGAGAGGUUGUGUCAACGGAACGUUGGUUUAUAGAGAGGUUGGUCGUAUCAUGGCUGCCUGGGACCUCAGUGGGACCCGUAUGUAAGGGACAGAGGCCUCGACCGUUUGACGAGCCAGUGCAACAUCCGACUGACCAGCCAGUACAGUGUCAGGAUGACUGACCAGCCAGUACAGUGACAAGAUGACUGACCCGAUGGGGAUCAUACGCCUUAGUUCAAGCGACGACAGAUCCGCAUGACCGUUGACCAGGUGUGACCUUGGCAUGUGGUAUUCUCAUCUUGGACUGAGACCAGCGUGACCAUACUGGACCCUGUGCGUGUGACCCACAAGUUAGACGCUAACUCUUGGGGAGGACUUUCUAUAGUCACAAUGUGGCAGAUUAUGUACCUAGCGUAUAUGCUAUAGAAUUCACUAUGUAAAGAUGUAAAACUAUUGCUCAUAUAUGUGUAUGUAUGUGUAUGUGUGUAUGUAUAUGUAUAUGUAUAUGUAUAAGUAGUAGUAUGAUGGUGGUUCUGCGUCACUUCCUCCUAGGGGGUUAUUUCUAUGUAAUGUUGCUCCCAGCGUCCAUUAAAAAUAAUGAUCCCCGA